rnacentral:rRNA from 1 species
UACGUAGGGUGCGAGCGUUGCCCGGAUUUAUUGGGCGUAAAGGGCGCGCAGGCGGUUCGGCACGUCCGUUGUGAAAUCGCUCGGCUCAACUGGGCGGGGUCAGCGGAUACGGUCGAACUUGAGCAAGCUAGGGGGCAAUGGAAUUCCCGGUGUAGUGGUGGAAUGCGUAGAUAUCGUAAGGAAGACCAGUGGCGAAGGCGGGUCUCUGGACAGUUCCUGACGCUGAGGCACGAAGGCCAGGGGAGCAAACGGG